CCCCGGCGCCACAAGUGGUUAUCACGAUUAUUGGGCCUAAAGCGUUCGUAGCCGGUUUGGUGCAUCUCUUGUGAAAUUGUUCGGCUUAACCGGACAGCGUGCAGGAGACACGACCAGACUCGAGACCGGGAGGCGUAAGAAGUAUUCCAUGGGGACUGGUAAAAUGGGAUAAUCCAUGGAAGACUACCGAUGGCGAAGGCAUCUUACGAGAACGGAUCUGACGGUGAGGAACGAAAGCCAGGGGAGCGAACCGG
rnacentral:rRNA from 1 species